ensembl:snRNA U2 U2 spliceosomal RNA
AACACUUCUUGGCCUUUUGGCUAAGAUCAAGUGUAGUAUCUGUGAUUUUUAAAUGAAAGAGAUAGGCUUAAAUGGAAAGCAGAUUUAUUAAUAUUAGUUACUAAUA